UGCAGUCGAACGGCAGCACGGGGCAACCUGGUGGCGAGUGGCGAACGGGUGAGUAAUAUAUCGGAACGUACCCUGGAGUGGGGGAUAACGUAGCGAAAGUUACGCUAAUACCGCAUACGAUCUAAGGAUGAAAGUGGGGGAUUCGCAAGAACCUCAUGCUCCUGGAGCGGCCGAUAUCUGAUUAGCUAGUUGGUGGGGUAAAGGCCCACCAAGGCUUCGAUCAGUAGCUGGUCUGAGAGGACGACCAGCCACACUGGAACUGAGACACGGUCCAGACUCCUACGGGAGGCAGCAGUGGGGAAUUUUGGACAAUGGGCGCAAGCCUGAUCCAGCAAUGCCGCGUGAGUGAAGAAGGCCUUCGGGUUGUAAAGCUCUUUUGUCAGGGAAGA
rnacentral:rRNA from 1 species